CCUCUCGUGGUGUAGGGGUAGCGCGCCCUAUCUAUUGAGCAGGGAGUCGUGAGUUAGAUUCUCACCGAGAAGA
rfam:Aedes aegypti strain Liverpool supercont1.351 genomic scaffold, whole genome shotgun sequence.